rnacentral:rRNA from 1 species
CCUACGGGAGGCAGCAGUGGGGAAUAUUGCGCAAUGGGCGAAAGCCUGACGCAUCGACGCCGCUUGAUUUAUUAAUUUCUUCUUCUCUUACCCCUCUUUCAUCAUUUAAUAACUUUCACUUUGCUAAUCAUCAGUUAAUUUACUUUACCUUCAAAUUAAUCACCUUCUAACUCCUUUCCAUCAUCCUCUUUAAUACUUAUUUUUCUAGCUUUAAUAGGAAUUACUGGUCGUAAAGCGCUCGUAGGCGGUAUGUCAAGUCAAGGGUGAAAUCCCAGCGCGCAAAGUGGGAACGGCCUUUGAAACUGGAAAAAUGGAGAGUGUGAGAGGAGAGUGGAAGGCAAGGGGUAGGAGUGAAAGAAGGAGAGAUAGGGAGGAAAAUAAGUGGCGAAGGCGACGAGAGAGCACAGAAAGGAAGCGGAGGAGCGAAAGAGGGGGGAGAAAAAAGGAUUAGAUAAAAGAGUAGGC